CGAAUGCUGACAUAAGUAACGAUAAAGCGGGUGAAAAGCCCGCUCGCCGGAAGACCAAGGGUUCCUGUCCAACGUUAAUCGGGGCAGGGUGAGUCGACCCCUAAGGCGAGGCCGAAAGGCGUAGUCGAUGGGAAACAGGUUAAUAUUCCUGUACUUGGUGUUACUGCGAAGGGGGGACGGAGAAGGCUAUGUUGGCCGGGCGACGGUUGUCCCGGUUUAAGCGUGUAGGCUGGUUUUCCAGGCAAAUCCGGAAAAUCAAGGCUGAGGCGUGAUGACGAGGCACUACGGUGCUGAAGCAACAAAUGCCCUGCUUCCAGGAAAAGCCUCUAAGCAUCAGGUAACAUCAAAUCGUACCCCAAACCGACACAGGUGGUCAGGUAGAGAAUACCAAGGCGCUUGAGAGAACUCGGGUGAAGGAACUAGGCAAAAUGGUGCCGUAACUUCGGGAGAAGGCACGCUGAUAUGUAGGUGAAGUCCCUCGCGGAUGGAGCUGAAAUCAGUCGAAGAUACCAGCUGGCUGCAACUGUUUAUUAAAAACACAGCACUGUGCAAACACGAAAGUGGACGUAUACGGUGUGACGCCUGCCCGGUGCCGGAAGGUUAAU
rnacentral:rRNA from 1 species